rnacentral:rRNA from 1 species
UACGUAGGGGCUAGCGUUAUCCGGAUUUACUGGGCGUAAAGGGUGCGUAGGCGGUCUUUCAAGUCAGGAGUGAAAGGCUACGGCUCAACCGUAGUAAGCUCUUGAAACUGUAAGACUUGAGUGCAGGAGAGGAGAGUGGAAUUCCUAGUGUAGCGGUGAAAUGCGUAGAUAUUAGGAGGAACACCAGUUGCGAAGGCGGCUCUAUGGACUGUAACUGACGCUGAGGCACGAAAGCGUGGGGAGCAAACAGGAUUAGAUACCCCUGUAGU